UACGUAGGGGGCUAGCGUUGUCCGGAAUCAUUGGGCGUAAAGAGCGUGUAGGCGGUCCGGUAAGUCCGUUGUGAAAGUCAGGGGCUCAACCCUUGAAUGCCGGCGGAUACUGUCGGGCUAGAGUCCGGAAGAGGCAAGUGGAAUUCCCGGUGUAGCGGUGAAAUGCGUAGAGAUCAUGAGGAAGACCAGUGGCGAAGGCGGGUCUCUGGACAGUUCCUGACACUGAGACACGAAGGCCAGGGGAGCAAACGGG
rnacentral:rRNA from 1 species